AUUGAACGCUGGCGGCAGGCCUAACACAUGCAAGUCGAGCGAGCGGCGGACGGGUAAGUAAUGUAUGGGGACUGCCCGAUAGAGGGGGAUACCUACUGGAAACGGUGGCUAAUACCGCAUACUGUAGGAGAACCCAUAUGGGAUUAGCUAGUAGGUAAGGUAAUGGCUUACUGAGGCGAAGAUCCCUAGCUGGUCUGAGAGGAUGAUCAGCCACUCUGGGAAUGAUACACGGCCCGACCUCCUACGGAGGCAGCAGUGGGGAAUAUUGCACAAUGGGCGCAAGCCUGAUGCAGCCAUGCCGCUUGUAUGAAGAAGGCCCUAGGGUUGUAAAGUACUUUCAGUCGGGAGGCGUUACCGACAGAAGAAGCACCGGCUAACUCCGUGCCAGCAGCCGCGGUAAUAC
rnacentral:rRNA from 1 species